GGGGGCGAUCGGCUUCGACGUGGGGACUGAGAUCGUAUCUGCGUGUGGCGGCGCCCGAUCCGCUCAUCAAGCGGGCCGUUAUAUGUGCGAACGACAAUGACGCACUCGCUCUCGCGGCCUGAAAACCGCUGAGCCGUCCGACGGAGAGAUCGUCCUGGUAUCCCGAAGGCGUUAAUUACGAGGGCUGCGUCGCGCGAGGGUGCUCUCGAUAGCGCGAAAGACGACAGCGAGAGAUAGGUCGCGGCCGAAUCCGCGGACCCAGUCGUUGGGGACGCAACGACUACGCACGUGAACGAAGGUACGGUUGACGCCUCGCGGACCAGGGUUCGAUUCCCUGCGCCUCCACC
rnacentral:tmRNA from 1 species